CGGGUGAGUAACACGUGGGUAACCUGCCCCGAUGAUUGGGACAACCCGAGGAAACUCGGGCUAAUACCGAAUGUGCCCUCCAGCCAUAAGACUGGUGGGGAAAGGAAGCCUCGGCCUCCGCAUCGGGAUGGGCCCGCGGCCCAUUAGCUUGUUGGUGAGGUAACGGCUCACCAAGGCGACGAUGGGUAGCUGGUCUGAGAGGACGAUCAGCCACACUGGGACUGAGACACGGCCCAG
rnacentral:rRNA from 1 species